UACGUAGGGUGCGAGCGUUGUCCGGAAUUAUUGGGCGUAAAGGGCUCGUAGGCGGUUUGUCGCGUCGGGAGUGAAAACCCAGGGCUUAACUCUGGGCUUGCUUUCGAUACGGGCAGACUAGAGGUAUGGCAGGGGAGAACGGAAUUCCUGGUGUAGCGGUGAAAUGCGCAGAAUAGUCGAGGAGGAACACCGGUGGCAAGGCGGAUUCUCCUGGGCGACUC
rnacentral:rRNA from 1 species